UACGUAGGGAGCAAGCGUUGUCCGGAAUCAUUGGGCGUAAAGCGCGUGUAGGCUGCUUCGCAAGUCGGAUGUGAAAGCCCUGGGCUCAACCCAGGAAGUGCAUUCGAAACUGCAGAGCUGGAGUCCUGGAGAGGAAGGCGGAAUUCUCGGUGUAGAGGUGAAAUUCGUAGAUAUCGAGAGGAACACCGGUGGCGAAGGCGGCCUUCUGGACAGUGACUGACGCUGAGACGCGAAAGCGUGGGGAGCAAACAGG
rnacentral:rRNA from 1 species